CCCCUGCACCGCUAUCUCCACAUGACCUUAUCCUCUCGCUCAGUCGUCUUCCCCAAUCUCCCUCCCAUCGUGUUGCCAUGUCCUUUCGUUGUCUGCCGCAAUUUAUCUCACUCAUCGCCACUCCUCCACAGCACUGCGCCUAAUAGGCUCCCCUCUCACCUUGCCCUUUCUUGCCCCAGCCGCCGGAGCUCGACAUGCCCUGCUGCGAGGCGACGGGCAUCAUGGUUGCGGGGCGAUGGCAGCUUCCGGCGACGCGCUGCUCUCCCUUCUCUAUCCAGAAAGCCCACAAAUGGCUUGGCGUCGCCCCGCCACACCUAGAGUGCGCGACCAGAGCCAGCAACAUCGCCACCAGGAACGAGCGCCACGGAGGCCAAGCUUCUGACCCGGCCAAUCCACUGCCGCUCCGCCGCGUCGUCGGCUAGGCCGCCGCGCCAUCAUCGGAGCUUCAUGGCCGCGGGCACCUUCAUCCGUUGCCACACGCCACCUGGGCUUGCCCACGUUCCGAUCCAGCCGGCAAACGUACGGAUCCGUUUCCCCCGUGUCCGUCCCAGGCCUUUCUACCUCGUUGGAGUCGUCAAGGCGCAGGCACUCUCUACCAAGUCAACUGCAUCGCGCCCCUGCUCCGUCUCGGGAGGAGCAGCGAGCCAGCGCCCGCCUCUGCAUCGAGCACUGCUCGAUCCGACCACAUCGCCCAAGGCCCACUCCGCCACCGCCUUGCUCCGCCCUCACCGUCCUCCCGCCGGAGGUCGCCACCGACAUGAACGCCGAAGAGGAGGCAUGCGGUGAGGGGAGAUCGCCGGCGUGGCCCUCGUCGGUGGCGGUCUCCGGCGGGAGGCGCAGAAUCGGGCGGUCGGGCGCGGUCGUCUCGGGCGGGUGGCGGCGUAGAGGGGAAAUUAGAGGUGGAUCACCUGGCGAACCGUUCUUUACGUGGUGGAUUGCGGGUUGAAUACCUGAAACAGUAGGGGGGUUUCUGUAAAAAUGCCGACGACGUACGGCACAAACCCAAUUCUCUUAAUUCUCUUUAUUAUUAUUAGGUAGAGAUUGUUUAAUCCACAUGCAUGCGGGUUCGCGAAUUUCCCUUUACUAAUUAGCAUUCUUGUGUUUCCAAGGUCCUGUGAACAUUCCACCACCUAUACUUGAAAAUUUUUAUAACCAAAAAGAGAUGACGAUGGUGAUGAUCACGAGCAUGAUGACGAGGAGGACCUAUAUACUCAGUGGCGCCUGGCAACUUAUUCCGAUGGAUCACCUCUUCUUGUAUGUAUACAGGGCACUGCUGAUGUUACUAAUGAACCAGGUGUUGUCUAUCAUGGUCGCACUUUCUGGAUCUAUUCCAACAUCCGUUGCAGGGUAUUCGGGAUGGAUACUCGUGUGCUAGCGCCAAAACCUUCUCCCUGGUUCAGUAUUGAUAGUCUUGGAGAAAAUUCGCUCUUCCUUGGACAAAACUAUCCAAUGAUGGUGAAAGGCGGUCCAGCUACUGUUGGCACAACGUUACUACCAUUUGUGAUAAGCAACUGCUAUAUCUCGGACAUUGCUAUGGUUCCCUACCGUGGUUAUCACAAUAUGCGUCCUGAUAUAGGCCGCUUCAGCCUGGAUGAUCAGUCCUGCGUUGGUCUCGAGACUGGCAAUAGCUGACCCUUCCCAGAGAAUCGGUUAUGGUUCAAAGCAAGCGUUUCCAACGCCGAGGAUUGGUUGAGCUGAAUUCAUUUCAUCACUUAUUUGUUGUGUGAGAAAAACUUUAGUAUUUACUAGAAUGUUUUGUUGGAAAUAAUCUAUAAUCCAACAUGUAUCCUCGUUGUCGUUGAAUGUUGAUGACUUAUUGUAUAUAAUCCAACGUAUAUUGUUUUUCUA